rnacentral:rRNA from 1 species
AACGAACGCUGGCGGCAUGCUUAACACAUGCAAGUUGAACGCAGAAUAGGGCUUCGGCUCUAUUGCUGAGUAGCAAACGGGUGAGUAACGCGUGGGAAUCUACCUUCUUGUGGGGGAUAACUAAGGGAAACUUUAGCUAAUACCGCAUACGCUCUACGGAGGAAAGGCUUCGGCCGCAAGAAGAGGAGCCCGCGUCAGAUUAGGUAGUUGGUGGGGUAAAAGCCUACCAAGCCAAUGAUCUGUAGCUGGUCUGAGAGGAUGAUCAGCCACACUGGGACUGAGACACGGCCCAGACUCCUACGGGAGGCAGCAGUGGGGAAUAUUGGACAAUGGGGGAAACCCUGAUCCAGCAAUGCCGCGUGAAUGAGGAAGGCCUUAGGGUUGUAAAGUUCUUUCACCUGUGAUGAUAAUGACGGUAGCAGGAGAAGAAGCCCCGGCUAACUCCGUGCCAGCCGCCGCCGUAA